rnacentral:rRNA from 1 species
GACGAACGCUGGCGGCGUGCCUAAUACAUGCAAGUCGAGCGCAGGAAACUGACGGAACUCUUCGGAGGAAAGGCAGCGGAAUGAGCGGCGGACGGGUGAGUAACACGUAAGGAACCUGCCUCAAGGAUUGGGAUAACUCCGAGAAAUCGGAGCUAAUACCGAAUAGUUCAACGGACCGCAUGGUCCGCUGAUGAAAGGCGCUCCGGCGUCACCUUGAGAUGGCCUUGCGGUGCAUUAGCUAGUUGGUGGGGUAACGGCCCACCAAGGCGACGAUGCAUAGGCGAACUGAGAGGGUGAUCGGCCACACUGGGACUGGGGCACGGACCAGACUCCUACGGGAGGCAGCAGUAGGGAAUCUUCCACAAUGGACGAAAGUCUGAUGGAGCAACGCCGCGUGAGUGAUGAAGGUUUUCGGAUCGUAAAACUCUGUUGUAAGGGAAGAACACGUACGAGAGGGAAUGCUCGUACCUUGACGGUACCUUACGAGAAAGCCACGGCUAACUACGUGCCAGCCGCCGCCGUAA